rnacentral:tRNA from 1 species
GGCUUAGCUCAGUUGGUAGAGCGGCUGAUUUGUAAUCAGUAGGUCGGGAGUUCAAAUCUCUCAGCCGG